rnacentral:rRNA from 1 species
UAUUUUGACUGUACAAAGGUAGCAUAAUCAAUAGUCUCUUAAUUGGUGACUUGUAUGAAAGAUUGGAUGAGAAUAUAUACUGUCUCUAAUUAAUUUAUUGAAAUUAAUUUUUUAGUAAAAAAGCUAAAAUAAUUUUAAAAGACGAGAAGACCCUAUAGAGUUUAAUAAUUUAUUUAAUUAUUAUUAAUAUAUAAUUUUUAAAAUUAAAAUUAAGUAAAUUAUUUUGUUGGGGUGAUAAAAAAAUUAAAUUAACUUUUUUUUUAUAAUUAACAUUAAUUUAUGAAUAAAUGAUCCAUUUAUAGUGAUUAAAAGAAAAAAUUACCUUAGGGAUAACAGCGUAAUUUUUUUUUUUAGUUCGUAUAGGAAAAAAAGUUUGCGACCUCGAUGUUGG